AGCGGCAGCGUGUCCAUGCACCCUCCCGGCCGUGCCGGCCGCACCGAGCUCCCGGAGCUGCCCGCUCGCACAGCGACCCUGCCCCGCCCUCGGAACACCGUGGCACGGCCCGGGCACCGACAGCGCAGCCCCUCUGCCGGCCCGGAGCUCCGCGGCUCGCAGAGCACCAGCAGCAGCACAGUGAUGCUGAUUUCUCACGUUAGCAAAACCCUGAAGUUGUGAUGUAGCCUUUAUGGUGGAAACAAGAAUUUCCCAAUAAUUGUUUUUUAUUUAUCUAAGUAUUUAUGUACAGUUCUGUAUUUCCAGAAGAACAUUUCAUUACACUAUUUAUUUUUUUAAAUUAUUAGUUUUCUGCAGGGCUUGACCUGAGAGGAAGGCUUGGGAGCUCAUGCAGCUUCCAGCCAUGUGCAUGAAUGGUGGCUUGUAGCAGUUUAAAAGGGUAAAGCUCGGGAAGCAGGUGAGGUAGGAAUGUUCUUCCACCACUAUGUACCAAAUGGUUUUGGUCCUGCUCACCAAAAACAGAGUCAGAGAAAGUCAGUAAAGGCUUAUUAGGUACGGAUCUGCAUCCCCUAACUUGACAUCGCUCUGCUGGAUUGCCUGGGAUUGCUCACCUGCUUCAAAGGCAGGCACUGAGGGCGUUCCAGAACAGAGCCCAGUGGUGUGAGCAGCAGAGGCUGCAUCCUUUGUCACGUUACUGCUCUGUGAGAUCUGUAUCCCGUUCAGCACAGAGCAGCCCUUUGUCUUCAGGCAGGCAUAAACCCAUUUGUUCAUAAAUAGCUACAGCACACAGCGUGGGAGGGGGCUGGCUGUCCAAGGACCAGAUCUGUUCAGUCUACAUUUCAAGCCCUCAGACAGCAAAGGUCUUUCCAGGGAAUACCUUAAAUGAACAGGGAAAAGACACUUGGCUGGUGUUACCUACCAUCCAUCCAUCCAUCCAUCCAUCCAUCCAUCCAUCCAUCCAUCCACUUUCCUAUCCACUAAAACUUGUCACAAUGCUAGAUCAUCAUCUUAGGUAUCCCUCAAAAAUAUAUUUAAAAUAUAUAUUUAAAAUAUAUAUUCAUAGAAGAGAAUUAUCAGAGGGUUUUAAAUAUUCACAUAUGCACUCAAACUAGAUAAAUGUGGCUUUAUUACUCUUUUAAAACAGUAUGUAAACACACUAUUUUAAACCUGACCUCAUGCAAAAUUUCAGUAUUGCAUGUUAGAGAUGACAGUUGAACAUCCUGCUUGUCAUCUUUGUUGUGGAUAAUGAGUAGGAGUUUAUAGACACCAACACACUGGAAGCUGCAGUGUUCUGUAGACAUAAUAUUUAUGCGAGUACCAGAAGAUAACGGAAUGGAAAUAACUGAAAUUACUGAUGUUGUUAACGAACCCUACAUUGUAGAUGUGAAACAAACUCUGACAAUGCUGCAGCACCCACUGGUUGGCCUACAGAGAGCAAGCAGCCUCUGAAUAUUGUCCUUCAGGUUUCUCAGGUACCACCUUUCUGCACACGAGCUUGUUGCUGCUGUGUGGGGAGAGCUGUACAGGGCCUUCCAGGGGAUUAUACACAGAACACUUUUUCUUCUUCUCUAAGUGCCAGUUUCCUCUGCUUACCAGAAUUUCUUCCCUGCCAGAAAGCAUAUGUGUGGGCUGGAGGGGAAGAAACAAAAGAAGAAGAGAGAGAAGAGCUGAUCUGAGAACAUGAUACCAAAGUGAAGAAAUAAUGUAAAUGAGGCCAAAGGAGAAAAGAAAAAAAGCCAUCCUUCAACAAAGGAUAUUUUUGUUCUAUUAACCUCUUGAGCCAAAAUGAAACAUGCAUGUAGAAUAAGAAAAAUGGUCCAUUAUUUUGCCUGAAAAUUCUGAGCUUUAAUUGUCAAACAAUAGUCAUUAGUUUGCCUUGACACAAGGCUUUUUGUCAAAUACCACAGCUCAGCUUUAACUGAUGGCACAAUUCCAACAUGAUCCCACGUGAAACCGCUUUCUUUUUCCUGAAGUGUUGCAAAUUAUUUAUAACAGAUACUGAACAAUGCAAGAAAAAUCAUAAAGACAUUUUAAUAGCCUGAAAUCAACCCUCCUACAAUAUUUUAAUCAUUGUGAUUUACAUCCCUCAAGAUCCUCAGUCUGAGCUUCUCACUAAGUUACACUCUGUAACCCUUUGUCACUGCUCCUGUUGCUCUGGGCAGUGAAACGGGGUCUUGGGAGAGGCCGUGCUCUCCAGCAGAAUUCACUCACUGCCUGGGGCAGUGCCAAGCUCCAGCUCAGGCUCUGCCGGCAGUGCUGCAGUGUCAGCACCAGCUGGGGCACGGAGAGCCUGGACCUCUGGACUUCUGAAAGGUCCUGGACCUCUGGACCUCUGAAAGGACACGGCCUUGUCAUCGUGGGGCAUCAACAGCACAUGGACAGGCACUUGGAAUGCCAGGAUAUUUUACCUCGCUGCUCUCAGAGACUGGAAUAAUCCCCUUGACUCCCCUUAGCUUUAGGAGAGACAGCUCAUCUGUAAAGUUAGUUUGUACCAACAUAGCACACAAAAAUCUUCCUGUAUUGAUUGUUAGUGUGCCCUUUAUUUUGCAUUGAGUAACAUUUCCUUUUUGUCAAUGCCUAGGCUUUUGGCCUCUACAUCUUUGAGUGCUGAAGGACUAUAUUUUUUUCAUGUAGUGUUUUGGGAUCAAAUAAAUAGUAAUUCUCUGGUUUUAUAA